AAUUCAAAUAGCUUAUAUUAGUAGUAUAACACUGAAGAUGUUAGGGAGAUUAAUUAAUCUUUGAAUA
rnacentral:tRNA from 1 species